UACGGAGGGUGCAAGCGUUAAUCGGAAUUACUGGGCGUAAAGCGCACGCAGGUGGCUGAGUCAGUCGAUUGUGAGAGCCCUGGGCUUAACCUAGGAAUUGCAGUCGAUACUACUCAGCUAGAGUAUGGGAGAGGGCAGUGGAAUUCCCGGUGUAGCGGUGAAAUGCGUAGAUAUCGGGAGGAACAUCAGUGGCGAAGGCGGCUGCCUGGCCCAAUACUGACACUCAGGUGCGACAGCGUGGGGAGCAAACAGG
rnacentral:rRNA from 1 species